GCCGACCCCCUCUCUCUCCCAAACCCUCUUGUUAUUUCAAGUUGAAUUUGAAGAAAAUUGGUGUGAAUUGGAGCUAAUUUUUGGAGCUUGAUUGUGGGGAUUAUUCUUGCUUAGUCUUGAGGAAAGGGUAAGGCAUUAGCUGAUCAGCCAUGAGUUUCAGGAGCAGGGCGAAGAAUGUACAUGUUCAUGCCACUUCAGACCAAGCGGGUUAUGGGUCUAACAAUGUUGACUUUUGUAUUCUGUUUUGCCGCUUAGGUCGGCUAGUAAGAAAGAACUUGUAAUAAGUUUGUAAAUAUUUUUGGGAUCCCAACUAUUUUGAAAAGUUUAAAUAUAUUACAAGUUUAUUUUCAGUCUGUUUAAUAUAAAAGUUUAAAUUCUACGCUAUUUUAAUUAGUAAUCCCGAUUAGGGUAUUAGGGUUUCAUAAGCAUUAUGGGUAGCGUGCCUAAUUAUUUAGGGCGUUACAGUGAAUCUGCUACAUGGGUGUAAAUUUGUACUAGGAUUGUGCGAGGAAAAUGACAAGUAAUGUUUUGUGAGAGGAAUAUGACAAACAAUGUUGUUUGUGUAAUAAGCAAUAUUGGUUGGCUGGGGAGGAAAUGUAAGAAUGCUCUUUUUUAGAACUGAUGUACAACAUUUGAAACAAUCUACAUAUUAAUUUGUAAUUUUGUAUAUCAUGAAGUUUUACUA